AGAGUGUAACAUAUUCUCAUAUUAUCAAAUUAAGUAGAGAGAAAAGAGGGAUCAAAAAAUAUUUUAAGUCACUUAUUCUGUAUCAAAGUUUUAAUCAAUGAAUUUCUCUAAUUCUCCCUACUUUGUCAUGUUUAACUUAGAGUAAUCUUAUUUUGCAGUAACAUGUAUUAAUGUCUUGGCAUAUUAUUUUUAUGAGAUUUGAAAUGGGUCUUUAAUUUAUGCAACUUUGUUAUUGAGUAUUUAUGUAAACUACUUUUUAUUUUUAAAUUUAUAUAAGAUUAAUUUUGUUGGGUACACUUAAUUAUUCUUGUAUAAGUUAAUGUUUUAAAAUUAAUUGAACUUUGUUUAGUUAGUUUUAUUACAAAAAACAACUAGUAAUAAUAACUGCAUCUAGUUUUAGUAUUAGAGUUUACAUAAUAUUAAAUUUAGUUGGGUUAUAGGGUAUCUUCUUAAUUAAGUUUAAUGGUUGGUGAAGUCUUCCUAAAAUUAAAGCAGUCAAUUCAUUAAAACCGGAUUAAUGAACAGUAGGGCUUUACUAUCUUGGGUACAAAUAGUGAGCUAAUAUAAAAGGGUUGACAGGGGAUUUACGAGGAUAUUAUAAAUCCUACAGCCGUCUAUUCAUAUAAAAGUUGUAAUUAAUCAAUGAUUAAAAAUAAUCUUGCCAAUGACUAAAUUACAUGUUGCUGCUACUUUCUCUUAUUGAUUUACUCUUUUAUUUAAUUUACAUAUUUUAUUUUCUUGUAUUAAGCUUAUUUUUUUCUAAGUUCUUAGUAGUGUAAUCACAACUCAUUUCCCCCCAUCUUUUUACUUUAUAUAUUUUCUAUUAAAAAAAAAAGUAAUUUAGAAGUAUCUUUAAAAUUAGUAAUCACAAUCUCUGUGGGAUCGACCCCUACCUACCACUUACUAUAUUUAGCAAGUUAUAAUAGGGUAAAAUAUAAUUUAAAUUUGUGUGCAUACGACGGCAUCCUACAAAACUGUUUACAACAAAAAUCAAAUAAUAUGGGUAUUCAAAGUACAAAGCCAAGUAUAUACAUAAUAAAAUUGGAAUUUCAACACUUAAAAUAGGAUGCCUUUGCGAAGCCGUUUUAAAUCCUGAAGUAGUCAAACUAAAUAUUUAUAAAGUACAAUCGAAUUCAUAGUAAAUUAUUCAUAAUAAAAAUUAAACAAUGUGGAUAUUUGGAGUAUUUAAACCAAUUUCAUUUUGAUAUGAAUUACUAUGAUUUCUCCUUUCGAAGUGCCUUUAUAUCCUUUUUCUUCCUCCUUUGGUAGCUGCUCUAUUAGCAUCUAGUACAUACGGUACACUUGCAUUUUAUUGUUGCUGAUCUUCUGCAAUUGUUUCGUCUUGAAUACUUAGUUUAUCAACAUCUUGAUUCAACAUUUUCUUGGGAUUUGAGCACAAGUGUGUACAACUUGAAUCCCAUAUCAUACCUCCAAGCCCCAAGGAAAUGCGAUUCCUUUUGUCGGAGAAUCUUGAUUUCCUGUUGGUGAUGGAAUUUUCCCUUCAUAUAACCUAGUCCACUUCUGUCUUGGCACGUUUUGUCCAUCGUGGGAAAACAUACUUUCUUGGUAUUUAAUUGACACUAUGGUGGUGGAGUAAACGCAAGCAAUGACAAUACAACCACCAAUUAAAUAUAUUUUACUAUUUGACUUGAUGCUUCAGAGUCAGAUACCUUGUACAGUUCAGGAACUGCUUCUUUUCAAGAAAUACGAUGUACACGAAAUCGCCAUUAUAAAUUCCUCUUCAAAAUCUCUGAAAAGAGAGUGUAACCUCAGCUGCAUGUUUUAACAAACCAAAAAGUUUAAAGGUUGAUCUAUGUUUUGUUCUAGAACAGUAAAACUCAGCAUCUAAUUCUGUUUUGCUCCAUCUUGCAAUUUGUCAUCUUGAAAAUUUGGUAAAACUAGGUGAGGGUAGUGCUCCUUUUCGCUUCGAAACCAAUUGCAUUUUAGUGGAUUCACUUCUCUGCGAAGAUAAAAUCCCCACAGAGAAGAAGUCUUUGUUCAAUGCAGUGCAUCAUUUGUCUCGUAUCUUGCAUAGCCUAUCAAACCGCUUGAAGAAGUUACUAUCACUUUUGAGAUCAUACUUCACCACCAUGUCUUCCCAACAUGUUUAGAAUUCUUUAGGAUUAUGGCAUCCGUACAAGCACUUGUUGAAAUCAUCUUUAAAUGUUGAAUUUGAUUUUAGUGAUCGAAAAUGAGAUAUUCCAUUUUUCAUCAAAUGCCACAGGCAUAGCCUAUGUUGUCGACUGGGUCAAAGUCGAUGGAAAUUACUCCAAUUUUGACUGAUGCAGAGCUGAAAGAUCUCUCUCAAGAUUGAAAAUGGAUACACACAUGUGCAUCUCGCCUGCGUGAGAAAGACCCAAUCGUUCUAACCCCCCAGAAGGAACAAUUCUGCUUUGUUGAGAGCCCAUUUAUAAUUAUUAGUUCUAGUGACAUUAGGUAAUUUUUGAGAGGAGAAAUGUUGAAUGUAGCUCUUAUCCAUGUCUACAUGAGUGCGGCGUACGAGGAGCUAAAUUCUUACAAACCUCCAAUAAAAAUUGGAUGGUUUUGUCCUGAGUCGAUUUCGGGUACUAAAAGUGUAAAUGAUCCAGAUGACGUCAAAGCAUACAUCUAAUUCCCCCGCAUCUAAACACGCGUUUAUUCUGGCUCCAGAUGUGGAAGAUUUGCAUCGGAUACUUUUGGUCAUUUUUCCUUUAACGAACACUAUGCACGUCUUCGACUCAUUACAAAAACCUCAAAGACCGCCUCACAACACAAAAAUCAAAGCAUUGUUGAAUGCUGCUUUCGACAACCUUUUAAUUCCGUUGAUUGCGGCUACUACACUCUCAAAUACAUGGACGAUAUCUUUAAAUCCGUGAAGGAGGUUGGAGUCGAAAACAUAGAUGCCGUUUUAUACGACAUUCCUAGGGAAACACGCCCUUUGAGAAAUGGAGAAAUGCACGAAUUAAAAGACAAGAUUGUCGCGUAUCUUGCUAAUUUUUGUUCUUGGUAAAUUGUAAUUAGUUUAGAUUUUUAGGACUUUAAUGUAUAUAUGUACGUAUAUAUUAUUAUAUUAUAUACGAUCGAAAGUUUAUUAUUACAAAGAUAUUAUUGGUGAUUAUUGGUGAUUA